rnacentral:rRNA from 1 species
CAGUCGCCGCGGUAAUACGUAGGGUGCAAGCGUUAAUCGGAAUUACUGGGCGUAAAGCGUGCGCAGGCGGUUUUGUAAGUCUGUCGUGAAAUCCCCGGGCUCAACCUGGGAAUGGCGAUGGAGACUGCAAGGCUGGAAUCUGGCAGAGGGGGGUAGAAUUCCACGUGUAGCAGUGAAAUGCGUAGAUAUGUGGAGGAACACCGAUGGCGAAGGCAGCCCCCUGGGCUAAGAUUGACGCUCAUGCACGAAAGCGUGGGGAGCAAACAGGAUUAGAUACCCGUGUAGUCCCUGUCUCUUAUAC